rnacentral:lncRNA from 1 species
GUAUGUUCUCAUAUAUGAGCAUCAACAGUUCUCAUACAAUUUCUCACUAACAGUGUAGAACAAGACACGUGUUCAGGAAAAAAAUAAAUAAAUAUAACAGCAAUAAUUGUGAACUUCCAGGACAAGGUGUUCUGCAGACAAUGAUACAGCAGUUAAGGUCAGGAAAAGAUAUUAAACUACUCUAGACCAUAUUGGAUCAUAGGUUAUCCUGUGGCAUAGAAGUAGUUCUGAAAUACCUGAGGAAGGACAAGUGAAUAUACUAAGAGCAAGAGGAAUGAUUACAAUCAAAACUAGAAGAUAUGAUUGUAUACUUUGGGGGAUGGAGAACCAUAUUGAUCAUGGAUGAAAUAAUGCAAAAACU